UUGAGACCAAGUUUUGUGUGUGUAUGAUAGCAGAACAUUGAAAUAAAAUGUUGAUAAAUUUCCGCCGCUGACUAUGUUAAGAAUGAAUAGUCAUGAUAGAUGGUAUUUAGACACAAACAUAUGAAGCAAUGCCGAGCUGUGUAGAGGUAAAUACAUACUUUGUUGUCGAUCGACCAAUACACCAGGAUUUCAGUGAUUUCUCAUUCCCUUAAAGAUAUGACAACGGUUUCAUUGCAGCAUAUUUUUAUGUCACAAAAUGCUAUUGCGUAUCGAAUGUUGAUGUUGCCAUGUUGCUCCAAAAUUUUUGAUGAAAUAGUUUAAAGUUUUGAAUAUUUAUUUUACGCUUUUAACGUUUUUGGUUGAACGAAACCAAACUAACCAGUUAAAGGGUACUUUAAUUUUCAUCAAGACUAAUGAUUUUUUCAUUCUUAUGUAUUGAAUGUGUAAUAAACACCGAAAGGUUGUAUGGUGACACGCCUUCAUGCCUAUUAACCUACAGGAUAAUCCUGUUACCUAUAGCAGAACACUGUUAUAUUUAUGGCAAAGAGAAGGGGCUAAGUUAAUGUUUCUCUGUUAAUCAGGUCUUUUGGAUUUUGAGUAGAAUGCCUAAACAGUCUAAUACCGAAAAUUAUACCAGUGACUGCUAUUCCUGCGCUACGCUUACCCUAAUGCAGUAAGACGCUUACACAGCCAACACAGACACAUUCAGCGACGGAAAGAUAUGUUGAAAUUAUAUGUCAUUUUACAUCGCACUCGUAUUGGAAAAAGAAAGGUAAUAUGUACAGGGACAUUUUCCAACACCAGUGGUUUAAGUUUGAGUCUCGAGUAUUUCACAUUAUGCCAAAAAGUAAGUUUAUGUUUAAUAACUGAGGCGAGUUUUUGAACUGAAAGCGCCUCAUUGUCAUUACAAACGAAAAGUUGUCACGUUAAGUUAGAGUGAUGUGUGACAUUGCGUUAUUUAAAAUGUUCUAUAAUUUAGAUUGAAACAGAGUUUUGUGAGUGUAUGAUAGCAGUACAUUGAAAUAAAAUGUUGAUAAAUUUCCGCCGCUGACUAUGUUAAGAAUGAAUAGUCAUGAUAGAUGGUAUUUAGACACAAACAUAUGAAGCAAUGCGUUGUUAUAUGACGGUAUAUACCUCGUUGUUGAUAAAGAAGUACAGGUCUAACGGGAUUUAAGUGAUUUCUCAGUCC